GCCGGGGUGACAGAGAGGCUAUGUGUCCGACUGCAGAUCGGUUUACGGGAGUUCAAAGGUCUGGCUCAUCCAUCCCCCCCCCGGCUCCA
rnacentral:tRNA from 1 species